AACGAACGCUGGCGGCAUGCCUAACACAUGCAAGUCGAACGAGACCUUCGGGCCUAGUGGCGCACGGGUGCGUAACGCGUGGGAACCUGCCCUUAGGUUCGGAAUAACUCCCCGAAAGGGGUGCUAAUACCGGAUAAUGUCUUCCGACCAAAGAUUUAUCGCCUUUGGAUGGGCCCGGGUUGGAUUAGCCAGUUGGUAGGGUAAAAGCCUACCAAGGGGACGAUGCAUAGCUGGUUUGAGAGGAUGAUCAGCCACACUGGGGCUGAGACACGGCCCAGACUCCUACGGGAGGCAGCAGUGGGGAAUACUGGACAAUGGGCGAAGGCCUGAUCCAGCAAUGCCGGGUGAGUGAUGAAGGCCGUAGGGUUGUAAAGCUCUUUUACCCGGGAUGAUAAUGACGGUACCGGGAGAAUAAGCACCGGCUAACUCCGUG
rnacentral:rRNA from 1 species